GUUGGUGUCGACGACGGUGAGGAUCCACCCGUUCCCAUUCCGAACACGGAAGUUAAGCUCUCUGGUGCCGACAAUACUUGACUGGCGACGGUCCGGGAAGAUAGGAAGAUGCCAACA
rnacentral:rRNA from 1 species